rnacentral:rRNA from 1 species
AUGCGAGACCUCGAGCGUGCCGGCCUCGCCCUAAGACUAAGCUGGCUAUGGUUCUCCAGAACGGACCAGGAGCGAGCAUGGCAAGGGCUCAACCUCCAAUUUUCGCCCACGGAACGAGCCCUGUUCUGGGCAUCCACGUUCACGAUCCUCGGGAAUGGGCUGUCUGCCCUGCUCUGGGAGGACCGGUGGAUCGGCGGCCGAUCCGUGCACGAGCUCAUGCCUAAUCUCUACGGCUGCAUCCCCAAGCGACGACGGACGACGAGAACUGUGGCGGAUGGGCUCAAUGGCUACUCCUGGGCACGCGACAUCCAAGGAAACCUCGGUCUCCACGAGAUUGGUCAGUAUCUGCAACUCUCGCAGAUCAUGCAGCGCACCGAGCUUUCCACCGCACCAAACAAGUUGAUCUGGCGUUGGACAACGAGCGGCAACUACUCUGCGCAGUCCUGCUACACGGCGACCUUCCAUGGAGCAACGGCCUGCCACUCAUGGCAGCUGAUUUGGAAAUGCUGGGCGCCGCCGCGAGUCAAGUUCUUCCACUGGUUGGCCAACCAGGACCGAUGCUGGACGGCUGAGAGGCUGGCUCGCCAUGGCCUCCAGCAUCACCCCCGCUGCCUCCUAUGUGACCAGCAGCCGAAAAUGGUGCGACACAUCAUGCUGGAAUGCCCCCUCGCCCGUCAGACAUGGCAUGAGACACUGGCCUAG